GGAAAGUCGUAACAAGGUUUCCGUAGGUGAACCUGCGGAAGGAUCAUUAAAGUUAUAGUCCCCCGGCCCUCUGGGCUGGGGUCUUCUAUACCACCCUUUGUUUAUUACACCUUUGUUGCUUUGGCAGGCCUGCCCUCGGGCUGCUGGCUCCGGCCGGCUCGCGUCUGCCAGAGGACCUAAACUCUGUUUGUAUAUGAAGUCUGAGUACUAUAUAAUAGUCAAAACUUUCAACAACGGAUCUCUUGGUUCUG
rnacentral:misc_RNA from 1 species